UACACGCUGAAAACUUUAAAAUACAUAAAAUUUGCUUACAAUAAGAUUUGUGUAUGAAUUAUUUACGGCUAACAUGAAGUAAAGCGAUAGAUUUGUCAAAAGCCGUGCACUUUGCCUUAGAUUUCAACUCUGAGAAAUCAGUUGGUCAAGAUUUUCAGGAAAACUUUAGGAUAUUAGAGAAUGUUCUUUAAUACCAUGGAUAGAGCUCUUAAAUGCGGGGUUUAUGGUCUUCAUUUCACAAAAAUUCUCCAAAUAUUAAGAGAGUUAUCUUUAAAAACCUUACCUGAAUCGAGACUUGUUGACAUUUGUUGCCGUGCACUUUACCAAAUAAGUCACGUGGGUUCUCCACAGUGGUACAGGUCAGUGGCAAAGCUGACUGCUACCACACAGCCCACAGUAUCUCUAAGGCAACACAAUGCAAUUGGGAUGGAGCUGGAACAACCACUAUGAGCCUGAAAAAAAGACGUAAAGGUGAUGGAACCUGUAUUUUCCUGUUCAUAAACCAUAUUGGGCGCAUGAAUGCCGGACACCAAAAUUAUAUCAGAGCUUGACGACACUGCCUUUUGGUAGUUUUCGUCAUCGCCAAAAUCGGCCAUUCUUAAUGAUGAUAGUUGAGAGACAACCCUGGCUCCACAGCUGAUUCCAUCAUUACAAAACUUCAAUGGCCCGUUAUUUUCGUGCACAUGCUUCAGAGCCAACCAUCUCCGGGGCAUGGGCCAGGACAAGUUAUACAGGUGCUCGCAAUCAACAGUGACCUCCCAGUCACUUGCAGCAGACUUGUACAAUACCGUAUCGGUGGCGAGCAGCUACAGCCUCCCAACCGGUUUGGCCAGAUUGCCAUCAGAAUUUAUACUGGUCUCAUUACCCUCAACCAGCCGCUCACUUGGAUCAAUUUGACGGAAACAAUCCAAGUCCUUUUGCUGUGAAAGCAAAAUGCGAACAACUGUGACCUCUAGAGUGUUAAUAGUCAAAUUGUUGAUGACGGACACAGGACGAUCACAAUAGGACUGUGACUUUAGCAUGACAAGUUGUCUGGUAGCAGUAGAAAUGAGAUCAUGGAACAUCACAAUCGAUGUGCACGACAUCAACAAAGGAAAGAGGGUGGUAUAGUAAGAGAUCUGCAGACUUCAAGUGUUUGCAUUGUUGCAUGAAAGAUGUGUAUGCUAGCUAUAUAUAUAUUUCAAAAGGACGGCUGUGGUAUUCAUAAUAAACAUAAAUGAUUCUUUAUGCCAAUUUUAAGCUCACCUGUGCUCAAAGUGCUCAGUGUGAGCUAUUGUGAUAGUAGAUUGUCCUUCGUCCAUCGUCAACUCUGGUUGCCAUUGCAAUUAAAAGGAAAACAAAUAAAAAUCUACUUCUCAGAAACCACUGACUGGAUUUGACCCUUUGUCAAAUUCCCCAUGUUGAUUCAUAAAAAAUGACAGGGUUGCCAGGGCAGAGCUAGUUUUCACUAUAUGUCUAUUAUGGAAGUAUUAGAAAAUCUUCCCUUGGGAAACCAUUGACUCAGUUUCAAAAUAUUUUCACAGAAAUGUUCCUUAUGUGGGCUUGUUUAUCAAAAUUAUAUUUCACAUUUUUAGCUCACCUGUCACAUAGUGACAAGGUGAGCUUUUGUGAUCACAAUUUGUCCGGCGUCCGUCCGUCCGUUCGUCCGUCCGUAAACUUUUACUUUAAACGACAUCUCCUCAUAAACCGCUUAGCCAAUUUCAUCCAAACUUCACAGGAAUGUUCCUUGGGUGGUCCCCUUUGAAAAUUGUUCAAAGAAUUGAAAUCCAUGAAGAACUCUGGUUGCCAUGGCAAUGGAAAGGAAAAACUUUAAAAAUCUUCUUCUCCCAAACCACAAGGCUUAGGCCGUUGAUAUAUGGUAGGUAGGAUCACCAAAUGGUCCUCUACCAAGAUUGUUCAAAUUAUGGCCCUUGGGUCAAAAUUGGCCCCGCCCCGGGGGGUCAUGGGUUUUCUCUAAAAAAACUUAAAAAAUCUUCUCCUCUGAACUUACUUGGCCUAGAGCUUAGAUAUUUGUCAUGAUUCAUCGUCUAGUGGACCUCUACAAAGUUUGUUCAAAUAAUGGCCCUUGGGGUCAAAAUUGGCCCCGCCCCCUUGGGGGGUCAUGGGUUUUCUCUAUAUGUUUAUAGUGAAAACUUCAAAAAUCUUCUCCUCUUAACUUACUUGGACUAGAGCUUAGAUAUUUGGCAUGAUUCAUCGUCUAGUGGACCUCUACAAAGAUUGUUCAAAUUAUGGCCCUGGGGUCAAAAUUGGCCCCGCCCCUGGGUGGUCAUGGGUUUUCUCUAUAUGUUUAUAUUAAAAAAAAUCAAAAAUCUCCUCUGAACUUACGUUGCUUAGAGCUUAGAUAUUUGGCUUGAUUCAUCGUCUAGUGGACCUCUACAAAGAUUGUUCAAAUUAUGGCCUUGGGGUCAAAAUUGCCCCCGCCCCAGGGGGGCAUGGGUUUUCUCUAUAUGUUUGUAGUGAAAACUUCAAAAAUCUUUUCCUUUGAACUUACUUGGACUAGAGCUUAGAUAUUUGGCAUGAUUCAUCGUCUAGUGGACCUCUACAAAUAUUGUUCAAAUUAUGGCCUUGGGGUCAAAAUUGGCCCCGCCCCGGGGGUCAUGGGUAUACUUGAUAUGUUUAUAGUUAAAACUUCAAAAAUCAUCUCCGCUUAACUUUCUUGGACUAGAGCUUAGAUAUUUGGCAUGAUUCAUCGUCUAGUGGACCUCUACAAAGAUUGUUCAAAUCAUGGCCUUGGGGUCAAAAUUGGCCCCGCCCCGGGGGGUUAGGGUAUUCUCUAUAUGUUUAUAGUGAAAACUUCAAAAAUCUUCUCCUUUGAACUUACUUGGACUAGAGCUUAGAUAUUUGGCAUGAUUCAUCGUCAAGUGGACCUCUACAAAGAUUGUUUAAAUUAUGGCCUUGGGGUCAAAAUUGGCCCCGCCUCGGGGGGUCAUGGGUUUUCUCUAAAAAAACUUCAAAAAUCUUCUCCUCUGAACUUACUUGGCCUAGAGCUUAGGUAUUUGUCAUGAUUCAUCGUCUAGUGGACCUCUACAAAGUAUUUCAAAUUAUGGCCCUGGGGUCAAAAUUGGCCCCGCCCCGGGGGGUCAUGGGUAUGCUCUAUAUGUUUAUAGUUAAAACUUCAAAAAUCUUCUCCUCUGAACUUACUUGGACUAGAGCUUAGAUAUUUGGCAUGAUUCAUCGUCUAGUGGACCUCUACAAAGUUUGUUCAAAUAAUGGCCCUUGGGGUCAAAAUUGGCCCCGCCCCCUUGGGGGGUCAUGGGUUUUCUCUAUAUGUUUAUAGUGAAAACUUCAAAAAUCUUCUCCUCUUAACUUACUUGGACUAGAGCUUAGAUAUUUGGCAUGAUUCAUCGUCUAGUGGACCUCUACAAAGAUUGUUCAAAUUCUGGCCCUGGGGUCAAAAUUGGCCCCGCCCCUGGGUGGUCAUGGGUUUUCUCUAUAUGUUUAUAUUAAAAAAAAUCAAAAAUCUCCUCUGAACUUACGUUGCUUAGAGCUUAGAUAUUUGGCUUGAUUCAUCGUCUAGUGGACCUCUACAAAGAUUGUUCUAAUUAUGGCCUUGGGGUCAAAAUUGGCCCCGCCCCGGGGGGUUAGAGUAUUCUCUAUAUGUUUAUAGUUAAAACUUCAAAAAUCUUCUCCUCUGAACUUACUUGGACUAGAGCUUAGAUAUUUGGCAUGAUUCAUCGUCUAGUAGACCUCUACAAAGUUUGUUCAAAUAAUGGCCCUUGGGGUCAAAAUUGGCCCCGCCCCCUUGGGGGGUCAUGGGUUUUCUCUAUAUGUUUAUAGUGAAAACUUCAAAAAUCUUCUUCUCUGAACUUACGUGGCUUAGAGCUUAGAUAUUUGGCAUGAUUCAUCGUCUAGUGGACCUCUACAAAGAUUGUUCAAAUUAUGGCCCUGGGGUCAAAAUUGGCCCCGCCCCGGGGGGUCAUGGGUAUGCUCUAUAUGUUUAUAGUUAAAACUUCAAAAAUCUUCUCCUCUGAACUUACUUGGACUAGAGCUUAGAUAUUUGGCAUGAUUCAUCGUCUAGUGGACCUCUACAAAGAUUGUUCAAAUUAUGGCCUUGGGGUCAAAAUUGCCCCCGCCCCAGGGGGGCAUGGGUUUUCUCUAUAUGUUUGUAGUGAAAACUUCAAAAAUCUUUUCCUUUGAACUUACUUGGACUAGAGC